rnacentral:lncRNA from 1 species
UUGGCUUUUCUCUCACUAUCUUUUUCCUCAGGGUUUUGUUCCAAGGAAACCUCAGAGUGUUUUGCUUCUCUUCCUUCUUUCUCCAGUGAAUCUCCCAGUGUAACUCCAAGUGUAACUCCUCUACUAAAACUUCAGUAUUUAUAGACUGAUUUUCGUGGGUAGUGGGCUCAAAUGAGGGAGACCCAAGUCCAAAAUAAUUUGUUAUAUUUUAUUUAUUUAUUUUAUUUAUUUAUUUAAUUAAUUAAUU